rnacentral:misc_RNA from 1 species
CGGAGCAGCGGGCCCUGGCCGCGUCGAUCACGGCACUGGCUGGCCGAUACGUCACUUCCAGGCGUGGUGAAGUACGCGUCUCGUACGUGUACGAGCGAUAAAACGCGGACGCGAGUGUGCGCGAUCGCACGGUGGAUGUCGGUGGGCAGUGCUGAAAAUGGCCGUGUACGUGGACAGUUUCGCCGCUGAGACCGCCGAUCCUCGAUCCGAGGGAUAGCUUCUGCGCGCGUCACGGCGGAACGCGAUCUCUCGCACGCGCGCGCGCGCGUAAACGAUACGUCACUCUCGCCCCCUCGAUGGACGGACAUUGCGAGACGGAACGGAGCGUUGUCGACCCGAUUGCGGCUACAUUCCGGCGGACACUGCAACAAGGGGGAAGCGAGCGGACGGUGGAAUCGGGACUCGAAUCCAGGACUCCCUAGCCUAGCAUCACGUCGUGGACUCGUGGCGCCUGAUCGCGCGUGUCAGAGAAGUCGAUGCAUUAUUCAUCGCGCAUAUAAUUACCGAAGAUCGUCAGCAAUGGGUCGCGCUCGUCUUCUUAUCUGCACCGGCAGCGGUCCGCACCCGACGAUCAAUUAAGAAGCGCGACUCCGGAGUACGCAAAGAUGCGGGAGUGGUGCGGCACAGUCCCCUGGUGCCCAGCCAUCUAGGGAUCUAGAAGAGACAUCUGCGCCCACACAGGAAGCUGUUAUCCUGCGAUGAAGUAGACGUUGCAGCAACGUCCGACUGUGCGCAGAGUGCUGGAAGUGUCCCUUUAAAUGCGCCACGUGUCACAGUGCCGUGGAACGACAGUUUACUGAAUUCCGCUGCGCGCCGAGCGAAAAUUAUAUUUGAUUGCCGGCUCGAUAGCGCGUUUGUUUGGUAGCCACACUUUGUACAGAGUGUCGCAGAGUGUCGUUGAGGAUUUCUCGAUUGUGCGUUCAAGUUACGUAGUAGUCCAGUGUCUGAGUGUACGUGCGUUUACGUUGCAACGCGGCCGGCAGAAUGUCGUUCUUGUCGAAUCUGAAGAAAGCGUUCCACUUCGGUGGCAACGACGCGAAGAAGAAGAAGCUCUACAACAACAUCAAGAUGGACUGCAACCCGGAGGAGUUCUGGGAGAUGGUGGGUGAACUCGGAGACGGCGCGUUCGGCAAAGUCUACAAGGCGCAGCACAAGCAGUCCAACUAUCUUGCCGCUGCAAAAAUGUGCGCACUCGAGGGCGAGGACGAUCUUAGCGAUUUUAUGAUUGAGAUUGAUAUCUUGUCGGAGUGCAAGCAUCCCAACAUCGUUGAGUUGCACGAGGCCUAUUUCAUUGAGGGGAAAUUAUGGAUGUUAAUUGAAUACUGCGACGGUGGUGCUGUUGAUUCCAUAAUGGUCGAGCUGGAGAAAGCACUGACCGAGAUGCAGAUAGCGUACAUCUGCCAACAUAUGACGAAGGGUCUUGCCUUCCUGCACAAGUCCAAAGUCAUUCACAGGGACUUGAAGGCAGGAAACGUCUUGCUGACCAUGGCCGGGGGUGUUAAAAUAGCUGAUUUUGGAGUAUCCGCAAAGAACAAGCAUACUCUGCAGAAGCAUGAUACGUUUAUUGGUACUCCUUACUGGAUGGCACCCGAGGUGGUCCUGUGCGAAACGUUUCGCGACAAUCCUUACGACUUUAAAGUGGAUAUCUGGUCUCUUGGUAUAACUCUGAUAGAGUUUGCACAAAUGGAGCCACCGAACCACGAAAUGUCGCCGAUGCGAGUGCUACUUAAAAUACAGAAAAGCGAUCCGCCGAGGUUGGAUCAGCCGGGGAAAUGGAGUAAGGAAUUUAAUGAUUUUAUAGCUAAAGCACUUAUAAAGGACCCGACCUCACGACCCAACGCUGACGAUUUGUUAAGACAUCCGUUCAUAAGCCGAAAUUUAGAUUCAAAGCCUGUCAGGGAUUUGUUGCUUGAAUAUAAGGCGGAUGUUGUCGAAGAGGAGCUGGUAGAUGACGAAGCGGAGGAGCAGCGCACGUCUCAGCUUCCCCUGGAGCUGGAUCAGAUCACAGAUGACUCCGCCCCUGCGCGUCCUGAUGCUGAUGUUAAAAUCGCCGAAAAGGAGAAUCUCGUGGCAGUGCCCGCGAAGAAGGAAGAAAGCCACAAGCGCGAGAUCAAUCGGGAUGGCGAGAAGGAGGACAAGAACAAGAGAUUACGUAAGGCUGAGUCCAAGGAGAACAUACAGCCCCCUGCCGAGAAGAAGCAGGCACCUAAGCCACCGAGCGAGACAAGCGAGCGUAGAUUAUCUCGAGAUAAAGGGCCGGCGCCCCCGCCGCCGCCCAUGCGUCAAGACAGCGAGGAGAAGAAGAAGAAAGACGACGAGAACGUCGUGAAGGACAUGGAGAAAAUUAACGCCACGAAACCGGCGGACAAGAAUCAGAAGCCUAUCGAAGACAAACUGCAAAGCAAUAAAUUGUCGCACGAGAAGAUGGCAGAUCAACAGGCGAAUGUUAAGGAGCCGAGAAACUUGGAGAUGGAGGAUCAGAUGCAAAACGAACUGAAUAGUUCCGAGAAGAUGAAGAAGUCCGAGAGCGAAGAGAGCGGCAAGCUCUUCGAUAAUAUAAAGCGAUUCGAAAAUCAGCAGAAGCUGAUGAACAAUAAAUCGAGCCCGGCUUCGAGGAAGCAAUUGAGCGUGAACGAGAAACGCAAGUCGGCACCUGUGAAGCCGGAGAUGAUCGAGGACUUGUCGAAGAUUAUAUACAAUAAGCAGUUAUCUCUAGAGGAUAAAAACGGAACAAAGAAUAAGUUGUCGUCCGUCGAUGACGUAACGAAUUACGAGUUGCCAUCCCGCGAGAAGGAGGACUACAAGAGCCUGGAGGAAAAGCGAAAGUCCGUCGGCGAGAAACUCAACGCCGUGUUGGAGAAACGAUUGUCCAUGGACGCGGGGAAAAGGAAGAGCGACGGCUCCAUGGACACGUCAAAGCACAUAUCUGUCGCGUCGACGUUCCUGUCGGAGAAGAACAAGAACGUUAAAGCCAAUUCGACGGAGGACAUCAAGACGCAGUUUGGCGUCGCGAAGACUGAGAGUCCCGUGAAGAGCCGUAGCGCGGGAUCGUCCAGGAACGACUCCCUGGAGAGCUUCUCGGACGAGUUGCACACUAAAACGGAUAGCGCUAAGACGGAAUACAGUCAGGAGGACACGGUGAGCGACGACAAGAGCUCGGAGAAACAGGAUUCGGGUAUUAACGUGUCGGUGAUCACGUCGACGCCGAUCAGGAGCAGAAAUGGCUCGAGGAGGAACAGCGGGGACAACAUAGUAGUCAUUACUGGAAAAGCUCAACCUGAGCAAGAAGUACGCUUAAACACAUCGACCGUUCGUAUCACUGCCGAUUUGCCAGACAUGUCGAACAGUCUGGCAAGUAAUAUAAGUCAGGUAACCGUCGUGACGACGCAUCCGCCUGUGUUGGUGGAUGCGCCGUCGGCAGCAACAGCGGCGGCGGCGGCGACGACGACGACGCCUCUCUCACGUCGCACUUCUCCGACGUCGGAAGUCGUUAUCGUUGCCAACGAGAUGAACAAAACGCAGGUAAACGACAAUUCUAUCGACGACGACGCGUUCCCUAGUCUGGACAGCCUGGAAUACACGCCGCAGGAGCAGCCUAUUGUACUUACUGACGUGUCUAAGAAAAUUGGCAAGAGGCUGGACGAGUCAGAGGUGAUCAUAGUGAGUCCGAUCGUGGAGCUGCAAGAUACGAGUCACGUGUCGGUAGUCACCGUCGGCGAUGACAGGGAGCAAGUGAAGGACUCGUCGAUAUCCAAGAAGCACAACGUUAUCCGCACCGGUUCGUCUCACAGUGAUUUGAGCUCGAACGAGAGAUCGAGCCUGAAGAGCGACAGUGGAGACGAAGGCAGCAAGGUGACAGUUGCCAGCGCAGCAGCAAUCGACUCGCCGGACGCGGACGAUUACGAGAGAAACGCGAAGAAGGUAAACGGACUGAUCAAGAACGAGAUGCCGCAUCACGCCGAGGACAGAAUCGUCAAGACGGUCAAGUCGAAAGAGGUCAACGUCAAGGGUUUCGGCAAGGAGAAACGCGUCUCUCCGGACAGCUUCGAGGGUUCCAGGUCUCAGAGCGACUCCAGUUCCAUAAGAUCACAUACGCCGAGCAAGAGCAUCGAUCGCUCGGACGCCGAGUCCAUCUCGACGACGAUCAGCCAAGAUAGCAGAGAAUCGAACAAGGAGAAUCGCCUGAAUCAGACUCAGCAUACGGAGGUCGACGAGGAGGUCGUCCUGCGCCGCAAGCCGGACUACAAUCGCGAGGUAUCCCGACCGACCAGGACGAAGGAGGACAUACAGAUGAUGAAUCUGAAGAAGAAGACGAGGAAGCGCACGAGGAAGUUCGAGAUUGACGGCGUAGUUGUGACGACAACGACCUCGAAGGUGAUAUAUGGCGACGACGAGAACGGCAAGGUGUACGACGAUCAGAUAUUCCGGAAGCAAGAACUGCGGGAGCUGAAGAUGCUGCAGAAGAUGGAGCAGAAGCAAUUCCAGGACCUGGCGCAGAAGGCUCAAUUCAACAAGGACCAGCAGGAGAAACGUUUCGAGCAGGAACGCCAGCUGUUGGAGCGUAGCGCCGAGGCGGACCUGGAGACUCUCGCCAGGCAGCAGAGACAGCAAAUCGAGCGUGCCGAGGCGCAGCAGGAGGUCGACUUGCGACUGGCGUCCAAGAAGAUCCGCAGCGAGCAGGAGAGGGAGCUCAAGCAGUUCCGGGAAGGCCUGAAGCAGGAACUGAGACUGCUCAAGCAGGAGAUCGACCUAAUGCCAAAGGACAAACGAAAGAGUGCGUUCAAGAUACGGAAGGAGAAGCUCGAGGCGGAACACGAGGAGCGCGAGAAGCUGUUCCUGGAGAAGCUGAACGAGAGUCACGAGAUGUCGUUGAGGCGACUGUCGGACGGUCACCGUGAGAAGAUCGCGCUGAUGGAGAGGCAAUUCCUGCAACAGAAGCAGCAGCUGAUGCGCGGCAGGGAGGCGGCGAUCUGGGAGCUAGAGGAACGGCAGAUACACGAGCGGCAGCAGCUGCUGAAGAGGCAACUCAAGGAUGUAUUCUUCCUGCAGAGACACCAGAUGCUGAUACGACACGAGAAGGAGCUCGAGCAGAUGAAGAGGAUGAACCAGAGGAAGGAGGAGGAGCUGAUCAAGCGGCAAACGGUCGAGCGCAGGAAUCUGCCGAAGAGGAUCCGCAACGAGAUGAAAGCGCGCGAGAUGAUGUUCCGGGAAUCGAUGAGGAUCUCGAUGUCGUCGGUGCUUGCGCCAGAUCCCGACGCCGAGCGCGAGAAACUGAAAAAGUUCCAAGAGAACGAGAAGAAGAGAUACCGUGCGGAGCAGCAGAGAUUCGAAUUGAAGCAUUCCAGACAGCUGGAGGAGGUGCGUGCCCAGAGCGACGCGACGAUCAAGGAGCUGGAGCAGUUGCAGAACGAGAAGCGGAAGAUGCUGAUGGAGCACGAGACGCUCAAGCUGAAGGAGCAGGAGGAGGCUUACGGUAAAGAGCUCCGUGAGUGGAAAGCGCAUCUUAAACCCCGCAAGCAGAAGGUAGAAGCUGAUCUGGCGGCUGAUAUGGAAGCAUUGGAAAAGCGCUACCAAGACUAUUUGCCUUCUUCUGGUCUUAGUGGUCUCUCUUUUCCCUUUUUCGACUAUUCUAAAAUCAAACUUGAAGAACAGUUCGCGUUACAGUUGGAGGAGCAGGAAGCGAUUUACGGGCCCAGUGCAAUACCGUUGUGCUUGCCGGCCGAUCUUCCCGACCUGACGCACCACACGACCGAGUCGACGCGUAGCUCGUUGUCUUCCGUAAGCGAGGGCUGAGGCGGCGUCCCAAGGAGUUAUACGAGAGAACGUGUACAUAGCUUUGCGUAACUUCGCAUUCAGGCGUCUCCGCAGCGUGCACGUGGGACAGACAAUCGGCGUGUCUCCGCGCGCCGAUCGUCACCUACGGCUCACCUGGACGUGGGCGCGUGACUCCGUGUCGUCCGUACGUGUGAAUAAAUAAUCGAGCCACUCGGGAGUAGCGGCGGUGUUUCGAAAUCUUUUACUCGUUUGCGAUUCUUGGCUGUCGUCGAGACGCGAAGUAACGGCGCGGCGUCGUUGAAGCAGAGAGCACCGUUUAACCGAAAUUCAACCGAAACGCAAUAAUAGCCCGCAAUGAUACCAGGCUCUCGAAUCUGGACGCAGGUACUACUCGGCGAAUGCUAUACCGAAGAAGCCAGUUCACGUUUGAUACUAGAAUUAUACCUUGUUCGAAAUGUGUCUGUAUAAAUUGUUAUAUAUUUAUAUACUUUGAUAGCGAUAUGCGCACGCAUUGGUACACUUAAAUUAAUCCGCCCAAUACCCAAGACCCGCGGUCUUACCGCGAAACGCGAAAGACAUGAAAUACUCGGUCGAGGGGUGCCGAGCGCGUCCCUCGCACGUGUUGCCUACGGUGUAAGAACGUUAAUCACGUCUGUUAAUGCCAAUUUAACCGGUAAUUACUUUGUAAGGGAGGAUAAUCCAUCGCGACCACGUUGUUAUGUAUGUACGUAUGUUUAUAGGGAAGCUGCGUAACGUUUUACAGUUACAUACAAUCCACAAGCAUGGAAUGUAUAUUUUCGACAUUUCGUAUCUCGAGGAGCCGUAAUACCAAUUCGGUGGACACGAUCGCGGCACCGUUUGGGGACACAAAUCGGAAAUUUGCAACGUUACGUUUGUUUAUACAGUAGCGCGGUAGCGUUAGGCGGCAAGUAAUAUAAAUCGCCCGACUUGUUUUAAAUGAUUAUGAUUUUGAGAGAAGAGGUAUUACAUAUACAUAUAUAUAUAUAGUGAAAGAGAGAGAGAGAGAGAAUCGCUGGAUGUACAUGGUAAACGUCAUGUAAUAAUGUUAAGCCGUAGUCACCAUGUUCGGUUAUAUAGUUACGUUAUUUAUAAAAAAAAGUUUAUAGUAGCAACGCGAGUAUUCUACUUCAGACAAAUAUUUUAGUAAAUAUCGGUAAACUCGAAUUACUUUGUUCCUUGAUCCUUGCGCUGUUUCUCUCAAAUACGUAAAGUGGAAAGCGACAGAUUCCCGAAUUGUUUACUGUAGAUCGUACCAUCAUCAAAAUGCAUCGAUGUGGCAAACGAUUGUAGCAUAUAUUUUCCAAAUUUGUAAUUGCCUAGAGAACAUGUAUGUUCGAACACGCGCGCAUUUCCUGCGAGGAAUUUGUUUAUUCAAAUUAAAGUGAAAUUAAAAAAUUCUGAGUACGUAGGAAGGAUUUGAUGAAUUAGAUGAAUCAUAGAAGGAACAAAGUAAUCUGGUUUUACAAUUGCACUAAAAAUCAAAGGAUAACACCAAAUAUACAUACAUUGUACGUUUGCAUGGCUGUGUAGCCUGAUGACGUUCUAGAGAAUCUCUCUUUAAUGCAUACUUAAAACGAGCAUGCGUGGCUAAUGCGAGUUGUAGAUAAAGAUUACUUGUAAAAAAUAUCUUUUUUUUUAUUGUAAAUUACUUCUCGCUACAACGUUAAUUAGUUUUGAUGUGCAGGAUGUCUCCCGAAUUUGUUAAACGUCCCCUUCGAUCGACCACUUGUUUAAUCGCCUCAACAUUAUUUUUUCUGAAAAGAAAAGAUAAAAAGCGGGAGACGCAGUAAAGAUGAGACAUCCUGCAUGUACGUUUCGAUUUGUUUCGAGGAGUUUCGUGUACAUAGUAUUCCGAUGAAUUGCUUAAGUAUCGAGGAACUGUAAUCUAGUAUGAAUAUCAUGUUGCAAUGAUUCACUGAGAAACCAGGUUUUCUUUCCUUCAUCAAUAAAUACCGUGUAUAUCUCGUC